rnacentral:rRNA from 1 species
AACGAACGCUGGCGGCAUGCCUAACACAUGCAAGUCGAACGAAACCGUCGGGUCUAGUGGCGCACGUGUGCGUAACGCGUGGGAAACUGCCCUUGGGUUCGGUAUAACAGUUGGAAACGACUGCGAAUAACGGCUGAGGACGUAAGUCCAAAGAUUGAUGGCCCAAGGAGGAGCUCGCGGAGGAGUAGAUCGUUAGUGAGGUAAUGGCUGACCAAGGCGACGACCCUGAGCUGGUCGGUGAGGAUGUUCUACGGCACUGCGUCUGAGGCGCGGCCGCAGUUCCGACGGGAGGCAGCAGUGCGGAAUAUUGGACAAUCGGCGACAGGUUGAGCCAGCAAGGCCGCGUGUGUGAUGCAGCCCUUAGCGUCGUAAAGCUCAUUUAGCCGGGAUGGUAGUGACGGUACCGGGAGAAUAAGCUCCGGCUAACUCCGUG